rnacentral:rRNA from 16 species
GCGGCGUGCCUAAUACAUGCAAGUCGAGCGAACAGAUGAAGUGCUUGCACUUCUGACGUUAGCGGCGAACGGGUGAGUAACACGUAAGGAAUCUACCUAUAAGCGGGGGAUAACAUUCGGAAACGGGUGCUAAUACCGCAUAAUAUCUUCUUCCGCAUGGAAGAAGAUUGAAAGACGGCUCUGCUGUCACUUAUAGAUGACCUUGCGGUGCAUUAGUUAGUUGGUGGGGUAACGGCCUACCAAGACGAUGAUGCAUAGCCGACCUGAGAGGGUGAUC